GCGGACGUGGCGGAAUCUGGCAGACGCGCUGGGUUUAGGUCCCAGUACCCACCAGGGUGUGGGGGUUCGAAUCCCCCCGUCCGCA
rnacentral:tRNA from 2 species